rnacentral:rRNA from 1 species
GAGGGGGUGCAAACGUUAUUCGGAUUUACUGGGUGUAAAGGGUGUGUAGACGGGUUGUUAAGUUCGUUGUUAAAUCUUCCGGGCCUAACCGGGAAGCUCGCGAUGGAAACUGGCAAUCUUGAGGAUGGAAGAGAGAAGUGGAAUUCUCGGAGUAGCGGUAAAAUGCGUAGAUCUCGAGAGGAACACCGAUGGCGAAGGCAGCUUCUUGGUCCAUUCCUGACGUUGAGACACGAAAGCGUGGGGAGCAAACAGGAUUAGAUACCCUGGUAGUCCACGCUGUAAACGAUGAUCACUAGAUGUUGGCCCUGUUUUGCAGGGUUAGUAUCGAAGCUAACGCGUUAAGUGAUCCACCUGGGAACUACGAUCGCAAGAUUA